rnacentral:misc_RNA from 1 species
GUCUGAGGCGAAGAAAUAUACGACAGUGCUCUGCUCGUCUCUUUGGCGUCAGUCUUCUUCAGAAAUUGAUGAGAUGAUGAUGGGUCAUGGUUCUUGUGGUUAUGGAGGAGGAUCUUCACCUUCACCUUCUAAUUUAUCGGCUUUAGCUCCUCCUUUCACAGUUGAUCGGUCUGUACCAAAACCGGGUUCGAACCCACUUGUUGAUUUGACUGAACCGGCUUAUGCUGUUACCUUCAAUCCCUCUUUGCAGAAUUGGCUUGGCCCUCACCCUCCAAAUUCCAGACCCGAUUAUUUUUCUAUUUCAAAUCCGGAAUUUGAUUCUGUUCCGUCCUCAAAUGCAUAUAGGUUUUCUUCAUCCAAUGCCCAUGUGCCUGCUUUUGACGCUUCUGUCUCGGCCUCAACUGAUACCAUUUUGUAUGGCCAAGGUUCAACUAGCCUUCUUGAAGCUAAACCAUAUUAUCCCUCCUAUGUUUCACCCACAAUUUGCAGUGAUGGUCCCUUGGGGCUCUCCCACCAUUCUGGUUAUGAUUUAUUGACUACUUCUCAUGUUGCUACAUCCAACGGUUCCUCUCAUGAUGAUUACACCCAAAAUUUGUCUGGUUUGGAGCAUGUGGCCCAGUGGGGUGGCUUGUGGGAGGGACUUGCAGAUUGGCAGCAGAGUGAACAGGUGCAACUUGAUGCAAGUUUCUGCCCUAAUGAGAAAUUUAUUAAUCAAGGGUUGUAUGCUUCUGAUGGCAUGAGCAAAUAUGAAGAAGCUUCUUGUAGCAUUGAUACAGUUGGUGGGGAAAACCACAUUGAGUCUGCGGGCAUAGGACCAUUGGAUUAUUUUGCUAAGUUCGAACCUACUGACUAUCCUGCAACUUCAAGCUCAGCAUCUACUUUAGUUCCAGAAAACUUUCCUCUUCGGGCACCAUCCCUAAAAGCUGUCAAUUCCUGGAACCAUCAAAUGCCAUACAGUGCUUCACAUGAAAAAUGCUUCAGAAAGCAUGAUGCUAGUUUAAGUGAUAUUUCAAAAGUCAAGAAUUCUGCACCUACUGUCGUCAUUAGACCUCCAGAUACAAGUUCAUUUAGAAAUAUGAAUAAUAGCAGUGAUGAAGAUAAUAAAGAUUUUGCUAGCAACAACCUCUCUUGUGUGAAGGAACCUCAUCCAUUUAUAAGCUCCGAAUGCAAUGUUUGCUUUGAUGCUAGCCAAGUAAGAUUCCAACUGGAACAAAACGAUCAGGUCAUUUCGGAAUUUUCCUCCGCAAAAAAAGAAGAGCUGUCAAGCAAUAGAAGUUUUUCUGUGGAAACUUCGGAUCAUCUUUCAUGGGAAAAAUAUGGAAUUCAAGUUCCUCAUAGAAGUCCAGAUGGCUUCAAUUUAGUCAUUGAUAAAAAUGAAUCCAUCAAUCCUAUAAAGAAUUAUUCUGAGAGUUUUGAUCAUUACAACUCUGCAGUAGACUCUCCAUGCUGGAAAGGAGCUCCAGUUUCUCAUUUUUCUGAGUCUGAAGUUUCUGAUGUUGUUACUUCGCAGAAAAUGAAAAAGUUAGAGGCUUGCUGUGGCUCAAAUCUUCAAGGUCAUCAAAUUUUCAGUCUCAAUGCCAAUGAUGCUGCAAAAAUAUCCCCUGAAAAAUUCAGCGAAAGCUCAGUACAACAUGAUGGUUGGGCAAUGGAAAGUUGUUUAGCUGCUUCUCUGAAGAGGCCCUUGGUAGCUAAUUUGCUGCAUAGUGAGGGAAUUGAUGAUGCUGUGAAAUCUGGACCCCAUGAUACAAAUCCUAGCAGUUUCCAUGGUGUUCAAAUUUCUGAUGAUGCCCUGCCUAACAAAGCAAUUGAUAAUUCUGAUCAUAAAUCCCCUUACAAUGACCAAAAAUGUUGUGAAGAAGUUAAAUGGACAUCUGAAAAAAAUUGUGCACCCCGGGGUCAUGUUGCCGAUUUUGGGAUGAAUAUGAAUGAUGAUGCUGAUGACUGCUCAUCUCAUGUGCCAUUCCAUGCUAUAGAACAUGUAUUACGUUCACCACCUUCUGCAGAUGAUGCUCCUGCUAAGCUCACUAAAUCACAUGGAGGAGAAUCAACACAGAAGAUGUAUGUUAGAACACUGAUUGAUACCAUCAUGAACUUGUCAGAAUUACUUGUCUUUCAUUUUUCAAAUGACACAUGUGAAAUGAAGGAAGAUGAUUAUGAGGCACUUAAAGAUGUGAUCAAUAAUCUUGAUUUGUGUGUUUUAAAGAAUGUGGAGAGAAUGACUUCAACACAAAACUCUGUGAUUCCUCGGAGAGUCAAUUCUCAACUUGGAAAGUCAUCUAAGCUGCAGAAGGGUACAAGUAUGAAUGGUUCUCAGGUAUCUAGAAUUGAUCCUCCUAAUUCUCAAGGCUCAGUCAAAUAUCAGCGUUUUGGAAGAAGCUAUAUUUUAUAAAAUGUAGAAAUUGAAGCCCCAGUAGAUGAUUCCCCCCG